ACCUUCCAGACCCAAGCCCUGGGGAGGAAAGCGAGGCCGGGCGGUCACUGUUCACUCAGACCUGAGAAAAGUCGCCAGGGUAGCCGCACCUCUUACUUUUGGUGGAAGGUUCCCCUAACUCCAGCUUUCAGGACUUGGGAUGGGCGCACACAUCGCGACUCUCCCUUUCGUACUGUGGGGCACUCUGCGAACACACCCCCAGUCACCUCUGCGCGCUCCCCCGGAACCCGCUCAGCCCACAGCGCACCCCAGCGGCCGAGCGGCCUCCUUCCAGCGGCGGCCACUUAGCGGCCGGAGAGCUCGCCAGUUGCCUCCGCCGCCGCCUUGGAAUCUGGGGACCCGACAGACGGCGAGACCCAGCCUCCGCCCGACCCCGGCGAGGCCGCGCGGCUGCUGCGCCUGCCCCACCCGCCGCACCUGGGAGCGGUGAUCACCAGGAGAGGUGGGGCGUGGCGAGCGGCUGGCCGGGCGCCGGAGCAGCUUCGCCAAAAGCCAGCCGGACCGGCGCAAGGCGGAGGGGGAGGGUCUCGGGGCAGAGGCCGGCUCCUCCGAGGGAGAGACCCCAGCUGGGGUGGAAAACGGCACAAACCAGCUGCACAGACGCUGGGCGCGGAUCAUGGAGCGGGCCAGCCCCGGCUCCGGGGAGUCGAAGCUGCAGCGGGACCAGGAUUCCGUGGAAGCGUGGCUGGAUGAUCACUGGGACUUUACCUGCUCUUACUUUGUUAGGAAAGCCACCAGGUAAGAAGAGGACCCCUGGAAGACCCACCCGGGGCGCUGAGAGUGACCUGGGGGCUCAUCUCUCUCCCUUACUGAAUUUUCCUCUUCCUUUACCAUUAAACGACCUCGGUUCCCAGGCCCUUUGCUUUUGAAGUAGGUCUUUGGUCCUGUUAGGGUGUAGACACCUCGACUUUAUGGCUAGUACAGUCGAAAAGCCCAAGCGUGGGAUUCGAUCCAACUUGCUCAAAAAGUUCAAUGCAAAAAUGUACAUGCGGACCCCCCCCCCCCCCCCACACACACACGGCCGGUGAGAGCAAGAUUAUUCCCUGAGAGCAAGAUUAUUUACAUACAUCCGCGCUCACGGGCCUUCCCCCAGCCGUUCUUUAGCCUCCUAGUCCCCCUAAAUCUCCUCAGCGAAACCAAAACAGUUUUGAGCCCCUUCCCUGCGGCUCCGGAAGCACCAUUUCCAACUCGGUCCCAGCAGCUCCGCUCCUCCCCCGUCCCCCCUCGCCCUGGCCCUUGGCGGGCGGGGAAGUCGGGGUAGGGGCGAGACCACGAGGAGCCCAAAGGCAGCAACAUGCCGGAGUCUUCCCAGAGUAAGCGCUGUCGCCUUUUGCCCCUUUCCAGUCCCUUGCUUGGCCCGGCGCUUCCUUUCACUCUCUCUUGCUCCCAAGGCGGCGCCGCUGAAAGGGCUCCGCAGAGGGGUUCGCGGCGCGCACACAAAGGGCGCUGGGGAGGCGCGGCGGGAGCCGACAGCGGGGCGCUGACGGGUCCCGCGCAGCCCCAGCCGACCCCAGAGGCCAGCUCUUCCCGGUCGAGAGCCAAGCGCCGGGCGGCCGCUGCCGAGGGCGGGGAGGAGGGUGCCUGUCCUUUGGGAGGUGGCUGCCCGGGGGGCAGUUGGGGCGCGCGUGGGAAAGGCUCCCGUAGAGUUGGGGAGGAAUUGAGGUUGAAGCCGAGGAAGGAGGGGCCGGAGCAGAGAGUGGAGGCGGGCGGAUGCCCUGAAGCCUGAGGAGUUGGUGAGAAGCCGCUGCGCGGGCAAAGGCUUCUACACGCGGACUCCGACUGACUCCAGGACGCGCCUCUUUGGAGAAGAGUCCCGGACCCGCCGCCGCCGCCGCCGCCGCCUCCAGGCAGCGGCCGUCGGGCAGCCGGCGCUGGCUGCCUUGGCCGCCAGGAAAGCGCACUCAGGGCGGUGAUGGUGGAGCGGCCGGCCGAGGCUCGGCGCUGGGCUCCCCCCCGCCGGCGUUCGGCCUCCGCUCUGCCGGGCGCUCCCCGCCAGGGGGCGGCGCAGCGCGGAGCGAGCGGGCUGCGGCGGGCGGCGGCCCGGUGGCGGGGUCGGUAAGGGAGCAGGCUUGGAGUCACCGCCUCCCCUGGGCACGUCGUCGCCCCCCGGCGCCUCCCGGAGUCCAGAGUCUGCGGAGGCCGCGUGGUCUGCACUUCGACCUUCCUAUGUUUGCUGUGUUGCCCUUUGGAGACAAAACAAGGCCGGUCUAGUAGACCACAACUACACACGCCCAGCCGGGACCCUGCGGAGCUUGACCACCCAGAACUGGGCGACCACGCCUACCCCCUGCGCCUGCGGACAGGCCAGCUCCGAAAAGCGCCCAGAGGACCUGCAGGCCCCGCCCCACGGGGCGGGGCCUAGAGGCUCAUCGCGCCUGCGCCGAGGCCCGAGGGCGUGCUGCGCCGUUACUUUUGAAACGAGUGGCGGGGAACUGCUGUGGGCGUCUCCGCCGUCGCUCUCUGCCGGGGGGAAGCGCACUCCUUCGUCUGUAGGACUGGCCAUGGCGCUGCAGCUCUCCCGGGAGCAAGGCAUCACCCUGCGCGGGAGCGCCGAAACCGUGGCCGAGUUCUUCUGUAAGUCCUCCUCGCGCAGGCCGGAGGGCGGGGUGAACUGAGGCCAGGCCGCCCGGUAGGCCCGUGGCUCAGCCACGGAGGCGGGGGAAGCGGUAGGGGGCGGAGGGGAGGCCGCGAGGCCGAGAGGCCGAGAAUUAAGCUCUCUCUGCCCCAGCCUCCUGCCCGGCGGGAGAAUCUAGGAAGAAGCGGAUGCAGACGCCGCCUCCGGGCUCCUUGCUAAUGGUGGAGCUUGAGGCCUAGGUGCUGCUGAGGCCUGCGGCGCGAUGUAGCCCCUCCACCUGCAGCGUUGCUUUCAACUACAGAGCCAGGCCCUUUCCGCCCGCCCCCAGCCUCCGCGACUUAAGAGGGCGUAGGGCCGGGGUGGGGGCCACGUAUAUUUUUAACAACCCCUCGGCCCCUCUUUGAUUCUGGUAUUGGCGGUGAUGGACUAGAUUUAGGAAACGCCAUUCCGGACCAGGACAGUUGUGCCUUCUGAUAGAAUCUGGCAGGACUUGUGAGGAGAAAAGGAGGAAAAAGAGGGAAAGGUUUGCUGAGAGCAUUGCAGAGAACAGUUAAUCAGUUGCUAACUGAGAUGCAAAAGCCUAUUUUGACACCCUCUAACCACAUAAUCUGAAUUGGGACUUGGAUUACAGUGAGUUGUAGUACUAUUUUGACAGUAGAUUAAUGCAGUUUGGCGUUUUUCUCUUUUUUUGCCACAGAAAUGCAGGUAUCGUGUUCUCUGUUAAUUAGAAGCAAGGUUUUAAGAAUGUUUAAUGCCACUUUUUAGGAAUACUUUUAUUACAGCCCAUCAGGGGCUGUAACUUUAACCUACGAAUUGGUGUGGGAGGGAGACACAAUUCAAUCUGUGGCAAGCAGCAAUAGUUCAGCUCUCCCCACCGCGGCGUGCACUCACGCACACGCGCACGCACGCAUUCCCGCGCACGCACGCACGCACUCACAAGGCGCGGCCCCGGGAAAGGGGACUAGAGUUUAUGUGUCCUACCAUCAGCAGCUGGGAAGCUGUGUAGGCCCCUCUCUUCCUUCUCCAGGCCUUACAGGGGUCCUAGCCUGCUGCAAGGGGUAAGUUAAAGGGGUUUAUGGAAGAUCUUGCGGCACACUGGGCAACACUCCAUCUGGUCAGUCAUCAAAAGAGUUCUAAAGAUCAUUGAGUAAAAAAUAUAUUCACUGGACAUAGAUUGGAAAAACAGCCAGUCUGCUUAGUCCCUGGGCCCAAGACAUGGACAGUAUUUGGAGGCAAGAGUACAACAUAAGGAAAUCAUCAGAAGCACAGGCAAAGAAUUAUGUACCAGGAUGUUCAUAGAAGCAUUAUUUAAAGUUGCAGAACAACCAAAAAAAAAACCUGGACUCAAACCAAAUAGCCCAAAAUAUGGGAUAGUUAAAUAAGAUGGACUAUUAAACAGACAUUAAAUAUUAUGUUUUCAAAAUAUAUUUAAUUAAAUUGAAAAAUACGGAAUACUGUAAAGUUAAAAAACAUGCACAGCCGUAUAUAUAGUAUGUUUUAAAUCAGUGUCAAAAGUGCUACGUUCAAAAUGAGCCGAGACUUGUGAAAAAUACUUAGGACAAUAUAAAAUACUCUUCCAUCAUAUUUUAGGCAAUGAGAAAAGAAAAGGCAGGAAAAGAACCGUACUGCUUGGGGAAGAGAGCAAUUUGCUAACAAACAUUAGAAUUUCUUUUUCUCCAGCCAGGAAAAUGAUCUUCAAAUUCUACAAAUAGAAUAUGCAAAGAAAACGUAAAUUUCAACACCAAAUGGUGAAGAAAGCUAGUAGUCCAUAGUUUAGAUAAAGAUAAAAAUCCUGUGUUUGUGUACCAUCACAUCUAUGACACUGGGCACAUUGGCACAUAAUACCAUCUCAGUUAAACUUGUGACAAACAACUAAGUAUAAGAAUGAAUACAAUGAAUACACACUGAGAAGUAUUCAAAAUGGUGGUUAUCAGUAGCUUAGAAGUGGGAGAUAUGCAAAGAUAAUUGAUUAAAGGGUAUAAACUUCCAGUUACAGGAUUAGCAAGUUCAGGGGCACCUGAGUGGUCAGUGGGUUAAGCAUUUGCCUUUGGCUCAGGUCAUGAUCCCGGGGUCCCGGCAUUGGGCUCCCUGCUCAGUGGGGAGCCUGCCAGGGAGCCUGCUUCUCCCUCUCUCCUCGCUCUUGCUCUCUCUCGCUAUCUCUGUCUCUCUCAAAUAAAAAAAUAAAAUUUUGAAAAAAACUAAGAUUAACAAGUUCUGGGGCUCUAAUGUAUAACAUGGUGAUUACAGCUAAUAAUACUUUGUAUUAUAUAUGUUUAUUUAUAUUUAUAUUAUUAUAGCUAAUAAUACACUUUAAAGUUGGUAAAAGAGUAACUCUUAAAUGUUCUCACUACAAAAAAGAAAUGGUAAUUAUGUGACAGGACAGAGGAGUUAGCCAUAGGAUUAUGACUUAGUCAUAAUCAUUUUGUAAUACACAAGUUUAUUAAAUCAACACCCUGUAUACCUUAAACUUACACAAUGUUAUAUGUCAAUUCCCUCUCAAUAAAGUGGGGUAAAAUUUUUUAAAUAUAUAUUUUUUAAAGUAUCAAGGACUUCAAAAAAAUUCAGUGAUAUAUCGAGUUGCUCAAAAAAUGUCCAGGUAUGUCCUCAGUAUUUGUAGAUAAAUUUCAAAACAUCAACGAAUCUCUUGAACGGUUUCAGAAGAGUGUGUAGAGAUUUUCCAAUAAUUUAUCCUGGAAAUGAAAAUUGAUGUAUUCGAUACAUUCAAUCCUAAAGACCAAGGAGAUGUUAGAGCAGAUUGCCAUACAGGUGAUUGAUCAGAAGGGAUUGUCGUGCUUAAUGUCAAAACAAUUAUAUAUCCUUUUAUCCAUAUGUGACCCAACAGAACUCAGCCUCUGCUGGUAAUUGUCUUUCAUUAUUUGGUUAAAAAAAUUUUUUUUAACAAAAAUAGGGAACCACUGGAGAUUUUUGAACAGGGAAACACCUCUCAUUGAUAAAGAUCAGUCAGUUCUGUACCUAAUACACUGGAAAUUGAAGAGACUGGAGGCCUAAAGAUCAAGCAUAUGACAAACUAGAAUAUUCUAGGUAAAAGCAGUAAUAGGGUAAGAAAUACAAAGUAAAAGUCAAAAGGGUGUUAAUAGUAGAGACAUAAAGAGAAAAGCAGCAGUACAACUGACCUAGCUGGAAGAUGGAAACAGAAAAAAUCAGAGACUAUGCCAAGAUUUCAAAAUUGGAUGGCUAAGUGAAUAGUUGUGCCAUGACUAGAAAGAAGAAAGUCGUGUUUCCUAACUUAGAGUGAGGUGAUGCUUAAUUCGAUUAUUACUCAUUAUACGUUGGAACUCUCAAAUAGCGCAUUGAGAUUAUGGACCCGGCCCUCUGGAGAAAAGUAUAUGCAGUCCUGCGCCUACACCGUGACCGAACCCGGGAGGUGGGGGUGUGGGGGUGGGGGGGCGCCGAGGUUGUGCACAUAGCCUGCUGGGCCAGGUGGAGCACGCCAUCUGCUGUAACUGAUAUUCGCAAAAAUGAGUCCCCGUGUUCUACGAAAAAGAAGUUCAUUGAGUUUUGAGUGUAGUCCACGUCCACUAACUGCUUCCUCUUAUUCCAUUCUUUACUGUGUGCUGAAGACCCAUCAACGAAUAAAGCAGUCUCUUGAGAUUGCCACGAAGCACAAAAUUUUAGAGAUUUUUUUCAGUAUUCUCUAUAUAAGAAUAACAGUGUGUUGUAGAAAUAUUUCUAUCAGAAAUAGUAAAAAAAAAAAAAAUAGGCUUGUCAUUUAAAUGCAUAUUCUUCGGAUAUCUGGGAAGUGUACUGGCAUGGAACAAACUUUUCUUGAGCAAUGCUGGGAAAAUGAGGUGUUGCUGUAUUGGGUUAGUGAUAUUAAAUCAGAGAUUAUAUGUAGACAGUGAAGGGAUUGAGAAGUAAUUUUGGUUUCCUUUUCAGAACGGGGGGAUCAGAGAGAUUUUUUUUUUUAAUAAUAAUCAUCAAGUACGGUAAUGGCAAACACUCUGAAAAUAUUAAGUGUUGCAAGCAAUUUAUUAUGUCUAUUACAUUCUCAGAAAGACAAUCAGUCAAUAUUGCAAUCUUAAAUAUAAACUUGCAGAGUGCUAAAUCCUCUUCCAAACUAAACUUCAAAACCCUCAACGAUGAUUGUCUAUAAUAAACAAGGCAGAGUAGUUUACUUAUGGCCCAAAGUUAGACUUUGAAGUUCACUUUUAAAGAACGUAUUUGAUAGUAAUUCUCCAAAAGAAUGUUAAUUAUGAAAAUGAAAGGAUGGAUUAAGUCCUGUAAAAUUUUAUUUUUCAAAGAAAUGCUUCAAUGCCUCCUUUGAUAUAUGACUCAUUUCACCACUUUAAAAGACAUAGCAACAGUAAAAACUUCUUUAAAAUUAGCAAAUCAAAAAUUCUAAAAUCUCAUGAUCUGUGUUCACCUCAAAAUCAUAAUACCAUAAUGAUUGCAAGGAUGACAUUAUUGUAUGUACCACAAAGAAAGGAAUAAAAACAAAGCUACACAAGUUAUAACACGUGUUUUUUGUAGCUCAGAACUUUCACUACAUACUUACUGAAAGAGCUUUAUAAUACCUACUGAGGUAUAGGUUUUUAUCUUAUGCCCUGCUUGAAUCUAUAUAAAAAUGAAACUGUAAGAGGGGCACCUGGGUGGCUCAGUCAGUUAAGCAUCCGGAGGACUCUUGGUUUGGGCUCAGGUCAUGGUCUGGGGCUCAUGGGAUCCAGCCCCAGAUUGAGCUCCAGGCUCAGGCAGGAGUCUGCUUGUCCCUCUCCCUACCCUUGCCCCUCCCCCUGCUCCCUGUUCACGUGCAUGUGUGCUCGAGCUCUCUCAAAUAAAUAAAUAAAAUCUUAGAAAAACAAUAAAGUAUAAGCAAAACAAAUCGGUUAGGGUAUUCCUAAAGCUUACUCCCAUCCCAAAUCCAGUAUUUCCAAACAUGUUCAACUCAGAGUCAUGGAUGACCAUGUUUCCCACACAAUACUAUCAUCUAUGCUAUCAAGAGUGCUGGUCAUACAGUAUCGUCUCUGCAAUUUUAUUCCAAGUUGCUGAUAUUCAUACUGUAAGUUUUUAUGCACGUGGACUAGCAAUGACAAGGACAUCAGAACCACAAGACACAACCUGUUUCCAGAAAUGUGAAAAUGUAAAAAGAAAUGUAAAUGUUAGAAUCUUUGAAAUAUGAUGUAUCUUAAGAGCUAAGAUAUAGUAAAGAAAUUUGAUUUACAGCUCUAAUUUCUGACCCCCUCCCCUCAUGGAAGUAGAGUUGACACACGGUUCCAUUAGUUUCAGGUGUACGACCCAGUGAUUCAGUGACUCUACACCUGGUGCUGUGCUCACCAUUCAGCUCUAAUUUCUUACAGGCUCUUGGACUUUCUUCGCUGUUCACCAGAAACUGUAAAUCUGACAUUUGCAAAGUGUUAACCUACUCUAAAGGGUGAAUUUGGAACUUUAAAAAGGAAAGCAGUGGCCUUUCUACUGCUUCAGUGAUGUCAGCACCAACAAAGGAAGCAGCCCCGGCAUCCUCACCAGCUAAGGCAAAACCAUCUAUUUGGACUUAUGUCUUCGGACCUGUUAAAUUUAUGUAGAACUGAACUCAUCCUAUCCCCACAUUCCCAGGAUUUUUAAAACAAACAAACAAGCAAAGUCCUUGCUUCUCGGAGGUUAUAAGUAAAUCUAAGGGAAAUGGUGUUUUCUGUUGGGGUUGUUUGUUUGUUUGUUUUGAGAAAGCAUUGUCAUCUUAUUUCAAGUUAUAGACUGACUUCUAGAAAUGAGAUUCAAAUUUUUUGAGGCUAUAAACACCGAGCCAAGCAAUACUCUUGAAGUAAACAUCCUAGAAGUCAGACUAGUAUGAUAUAUAUGAUUAAGGCAUUGCUGUGCUCACUUUUGCAAGUUUAUACUUAAACCAGAGAAAAUCAGCUACAAGAUGAAUCUAAACAAAUAGUAUGCCGGAAUAUAUUAUGUACACUGAAAUUUUAGUUUUUUAGCGUUCAUAGCGGUAAUGACUCAGAUCAGCUUUGAUAUUUUUUUUUCAAACUUACCAAAUAUCCCAGAAAGUAAAAACACAGAAAUAGCAAAAUAUUUUUUAGAAUUUAAAUGUAAAAUGUUUUUAAAUGCUAAAUUCUGAUCUGUUUGCCACUGGGAAAAUCACAUACUUUGCAACUAGAUUCUGAGAAAGGGGGAUUAGGAAAAAAAGUAAAGAGCGAACGAUAUGUUUUACUAGACAUUUACUUCAUGUAUGUUUAUUACUUCUUUAAGAAACAUAAGUUUUAUCAAUCUUUAGUUAAAAGCAUGAAAGAAAAGCAAUCUAAAAUGGGUCAACUGAAAAAAUAUAUAUAGCAACGAAACGCUAAAAAUGAAAUUACAUUAGCAUGUACCUGUAUUUCAAAUAGGAAAGUAGAUUUAGCUUGAGAUGAUAUUCAAAAUCUGUAAGUGCUGGGCACAGACACCAAUCAAUGAGAAUGGCACUGCUCUCAAUGGCCGGAACAACCAUAUAUAUUAUCAACUGGAUACCAAGCCAGCAAGUCAGCCUGUGAUGUGCUCCACCAAUUGCUCAACAUCCCAAUAUAUGGGAGAAAUAAAUGCAAGAUGUCUACUACUUUUUGUUUGUUUUACUUACUAGAAGAUUUUUGCAUUUUCUUGGAUCAGUUAAUGUGGGGGAAAAUGUUUAGAAAACAAUGUGCACAUUUUCCAUUGAUAGGCAAGAGAUGAUAGAGAUAUGGUGGCCAGUUACUCGAAUUACUAGAGAUGACAGGACCAUCCAACAGAGGGAGGGAAUAAAAGGAAUUCAGAAAAAUGACAACAGAGAAGAAAGAUGGCUAAUGAGAAAUUUCUAGUAGCCAACAUGGCGAGAGGACUUUUAGGAACUACUGUCCUGAUUUAAUUUGCUUUUAAAAUUCUUUCUGUGUUUAAUCCUCCUGUAUUAACCAUGAAACCUAUGCUACUUACAUAAAUACCCUUGUUGUAGUAUAGCUUGGGGAAACUAAAAACCCAAGGCUGAGUCCUAUACUUGAAAGAAAGAAAGAAAGAAAGAAAGAGAGAGAGAGAGAGAGAGAGAAGGAAAGAAAGAGAAAGAAAGAAAGAAAGAAAGAAAGAAAGAAAGAAAGAAAAAGGAAAGAAGCAGAGUAGGAAAAGGACAGAACCUAAGGAAAAUUACAAAUAGGAAUUGAGAAAUAUACAAGAGUAGUAAUUUAGAGCAGGCUGGAAAUCAUCCCACCCUAACCAAGAAUUAAUAGAAAUACCGAGUAAGGCAAUAGGCCUCUCACAAUACUUAAAAUGGGAGUUCAUCUAUUACAUUUGGACAUAGAAAAAAACUGUAGGUAAUAUCAAAAAGCUGGAGUACAUGGGACAUCUUUGCUUCACUAUAUAACACUUUACCAUAUAAUAAUGGUUGUCAUUAGUUUCUUACUUCCCAUGUGUCAAAGAACCUAAAAAGCUAUUUUAGAAUAAGUAGAUUUAUGGCUUAUUUUGUAUUUAUAUCUUUGACUCAAUGUUUUCUACUAUGUUUCAUCAUUUCACAAUAUGAAAUAUUUCCAUCAAAAAAAAAAACCAAAAAAACCCCCCAAAAAACCCUCCUCUCUCAUCCUAAAAAUACACCCAAAUCAAUCAGUGUUAUUCUCACUCAAAUGCAUAGAUAGGCUGUCACGUACUUACGGACCGCUUGGAUGGAAAUACAAAAAAGGAACAUUUUUAAUGUCAGUUAAGAAUAAUCACUCGUAUGGACCAUAACUGACACUGAAACCAGUUUCUUCGUCAAUGUUUGUGUAGGAGAUGGCUUGGAAAUGGACCAACUUUUUAAGGCCCACCUGUGUCAAAUUGGUCUAGAGGUAAGGAUCAUGCGAUGCAGAUAACAUGUUUAUUUACUUCUUGGAAUUCUAUUCUACGUCUAAAUACUUGACAUAAAAAAUCCUAGAAUAUUGCAAUUUAGAAUAUUUGAGUGAAGUAAGCAAGUUAGACAAAACAAAAGGUUGAAGAACAUUAUGAAUCCCCACAUCAGAUAAGAUCCUUGAUUUUUGUGAGGUGAUAUACUUGCCAGUAAAAUAGCAUUAGGUAGAACAAAUAAAGAACAGAACAAAUAAAUGGAACAAAGUUGAAGAGUUGAAGAAUCCUAAGUAUAACUCCAAUCACUGCUGUUUCAGAGGACGAGCAAUAAACUUCUCAAGAGAGAAAAUAAAGUAGAUUUUGGUUUCUAUGUGGGUAUUAACAACUUGGCAUCCACGAAAAAGUGAUAUAUACUCAUAGGGAGGCACUUGAUUUUCAACUAAUCCUAAAACAAUUCAAUUUAGCAAAACUCUACUGGUAAAGGCCAUUUUACAAUUGAUUUUUUGUGUGUUGAUUUUGUGUCUUACAAACUUGCAAAAUUCACUUAUUAGUUUGAAUAAGUUUUUGCAGAUUCAAUUGGAUUUUCUACAGAGACAAUCUUGCCAUCUGUCAAUAAAGAUAGUUGUACUUCUUCCUUUCCAAUCUGUAGGCCUUUGGAUUUUGAGGGAGUACAAUAUUGAAUAUAAGUGGUGAAAGCAUACAACCUUCACUUGUUCCUGGUCUUAGAGAGGAAAAUACUCAGUCUUUCAUCAUGGAGUAUAAUUUUAAAUAAGGUUUUUUAUAAUUCUUUAGCAGGCUCAGGAAGUUCUCUUUUAAUCCUAGCUUUCUGAAAGAUUUUAACAAGGAAUGGAUGUUGGAUUUUGUCAAAUGCUUUUUCUGCAUAUAUUUGAGCUUAUCAUUGGGUAUUAAAUUGAUAGAUUUUUCAAAUAUUAAA